rnacentral:rRNA from 1 species
AUACGGUGGAUACGUUCCCGGACCUUGUACACACCGCCCGUCAAGCCAUGGAAGCUGGGUGUACCUAAAGUCGGUAACCGUAAGGAGCCGCCUAGGGUAAAACUAGUAACUGGGGCU